rnacentral:rRNA from 1 species
GGUAUCACAAAGAGCUUGCUCUCGGGUGACGAGUGGCGGACGGGUGAGUAAUGUCUGGGAAACUGCCUGAUGGAGGGGGAUAACUACUGGAAACGGUAGCUAAUACCGCAUAACGUCGCAAGACCAAAGAGGGGGACCUUCGGGCCUCUUGCCAUCAGAUGUGCCCAGAUGGGAUUAGCUAGUAGGUGGGGUAACGGCUCACCUAGGCGACGAUCCCUAGCUGGUCUGAGAGGAUGACCAGCCACACUGGAACUGAGACACGGUCCAGACUCCUACGGGAGGCAGCAGUGGGGAAUAUUGCACAAUGGGCGCAAGCCUGAUGCAGCCAUGCCGCGUGUAUGAAGAAGGCCUUCGGGUUGUAAAGUACUUUCAGCGGGGAGGAAGGGAAUAAGGUUAAUAACCUUAUUCAUUGACGUUACCCGCAGAAGAAGCACCGGCUAACUCCGUGCCAGCAGCCGCGGUAAUACGGAGGGUGCAAGCGUUAAUCGGAAUUACUGGGCGUAAAGCGCACGCAGGCGGUCUGUCAAGUCGGAUGUGAAAUCCCCGGGCUCAACCUGGGAACUGCAUUCGAAACUGGCAGGCUGGAGUCUUGUAGAGGGGGGUAGAAUUCCAGGUGUACCGUUGAAAUGCGUAGAGAUCUGGAGGAAUACCCGGUGGCGAAGCGGCCCCCUGGACGAAGACUGACGCUCAGUGCGAAAGCGUGGGGCAGCAAACAUGAUUAGAUACCCUGGGUAGUCCACGCUGUAAGCGAUCGUCGACUUGCGAGGUUGUUCCCUUG